GUUUCAAGCUUUGUCACAAGCUUUCUCCCCGCACAAAGCAUCUGCCACCUUCUUGGCAGCAGAGGGGUUUUCUCCUCCGAAAGGUCACCUCAGCUCCCAGCUGCCACCGCUGGCUGCCUUUCAGGGCUUCUGCGGAAACUUUUCCGUGUUCGGCAAUCUGAAGUCUUCCCAUACUUUCUUCCCGAGGGGCUGCCCUUCUCCAGCAACCUUCUGCAGAUUUAAACUGGAGCGAUUUUCCCGUGCUCACCCUGCCGCAGACAUUUUCAGAAGAAACCCACGUUGCUCCUCAGACAGACUGUGCUCUGUGCUGGGUGGCAGAGCCAUCAGGACACCGAUCAUCUCACACUUAACGACCCAGCCAGACAUCUACCUGCUUUACUGCCUUCAGCUGGGGAGCUCUCCAAGGGGCUUGUCCUGCAGAAGUGUUGUCAGUCGGUUAACCAGGCGGAUCAAGUGCUGUGUUUCAAGCAGAAGGUGAGGUGAAGAAGGUGAGCUGUACUGCUUUGGGGAUUGCUUUCAGUAUUUUACUUUCUUGCUCUCAUUUUCCCUCGAAUGGUAUCACCCAGCAGAAAGUGGAAAACAUGCUGCCAGGAGUGAAGUCAACAGCAUGUGAUGAGUGCAGCUGCAAUUUGAGCCUACCUAAUUGGGAGUUUCUCUUUGUUAGCACCCAGUGUAGUUAAUGUGCAAAGAUGAGGGGGAGUUCUAAUUAUGCAUUUACUGAAUAUAACAUGUCAAAAGAUCAUUGACAGCUAAUCAGAAACUUCCAAACUUGUUCAGCAUUCAAAGACAGCUCGUAACCAAAUAUAAACUUCAAAUUUAUGCCUUUGUAACGAAUCUUAUGUAAAUUCUGUGUUCAGUGACCUUUAAUGAAAAACACACCAGAACCUUAGAAGAAUCAAAAUGUUGACUGUUUUCCUCUUGGUCUAAUUCCUUUAGAAUAAGCACAAGAGCUUCUAGAAAAAGUUCAACAAUUUAAUUCACUAACCAGACCUACAGCAUUUGAUUUGCCUUAGUUCAGAGUAGUAAAGUUCUAAUUUAGAAAUAGGGUAAGGAAAUAAAAUUACUUCCACAUGUUUUGGUUGAUGUUAAAUAUUAGGUAUUGAAUUUCUCCAGUACCUUUGCUACUUUUACACUGUGCUUAGUGAAAUUCAGUGUCCAGGAGCAGAGAUGAUGGCAGGCUGGCAUUUCUGAACACAGCCCUUCCAAACAAUUUGAUACCAGGUCAAGUAAUCAAAUUAGCAUAUUUUGGAGGACUUCUAAGAUUUUAAUUUCCUCCUCCUUUGAUGUCACUUAGAAAGUGGCUAACAAUUCCAGCACAACAAAAUGUUUUUGGAUAAUGUCUCUCAAGGCUUUUAGAGCCUUAAUUUGAGUGAAAUUUAGUUCUACUUGGCAAAGGCUGUAAUACUAUUCAAACUCAUAAGGCUUUUUUACUAAAAAGCUUUCUCUGCUAAAUGGUUAUUUUUAUCAAGACUUUUAAGUGCAUUAAAAUGCAUUAGUCACAUGUCUUGUUCAGUACUCAUCACUGAAUAUUAGCUACUCAGGGCUGAGGUGAUAAAAAGGUGCAAUGCACUUGAAUAUUCAGUAGGUACAUAACUUGCUGUCAUGGCACCCGUUUUCAGGGACAGUUCAGUCAAGGCAAGUUCUGUCUGGGAAAAAACCUACCAGACUAUCCCUUCUUUUUGCUUCUCUAUUGAGCCCCUGAAUGUGGAGAGCUGGCUGGACAAUUCCCCUAUUUCUGAGCAGAGGCCUUAAUUUAAAAUAAUGUUACUGAAUCUAAGUUGUUACCAUUAGUGUCCGAAUUCACAAGAGCCUUGCCCUGUUCCCUCUGUGAUGCUUCAGUGUCUCUUACCAUAAGGAAUCCUAUGCACAGUUGGAUGCUCUGUUAAGUUUCUGCAGUGAAAACACUGGGCAUAAUUUAGUUUUCUGGUAGUAUUAAAGUAAUGAGCCAAAGCUGAGCAUAAAUGUGAAGAAAAGGUUGUGCGAGUUCCCCAGCUGAGAAAUAAACGGUACUGAUGGAUGAGCUCUGUAUUUGCUGGGGUUUUAUUGUGUUAAACUGUGCAGUUUCCAAGGUUUUUUUUCUUUUAGCUUGAUGAUUCUUAUUAACUGAGAGACUUCAUAAUGAAGCCUUCCCCCCCCCCACCUGGCAAACACUGAUGUGCAUGUUUUUAAAAAAAAGAGUAGCUAUAAUUUGUUUAGGUGAAGUGUUUCCUAUGAUCUUGUGUCAGGCUACUCCUAUAUUUUCCUACAGACAACACAGUUCACGUCUAAAGCCACAGAUGGGCUGACUGGUCAGUGCAGAAUAAUGAAGAGGGUAAGAAGAGAUUUAUUUCUCUUAAAAUACGUUAAAUUAAAUAUUCAUUAAAAUUAAAAAUUGAUUGUAUUUUCCAAAUAAUUCCCUUUAAGUAUGUUUUUAUAAUAAGCAGUGGCAUUCAGCAGUUAGUCAGUGGUGUGUUGUAAGUACCAACACUACUACUCACACAACACUACUCUCUACUACUGUGAGUGAACUUUUUUAAUAUUAUGCUGAACAAUUCUGAGCACUGCCAUCAAACAUCAGUUUGAUCUCUGCCUCAUUAACAGACCCUGACUUAAGAUGUCAUUCAUUCAGGUUCAUGGGAGGAAUAAUUAAAUAUCCAUUGUGUGGUGGUAGUUGAAAUGGUAAGAAACCAGGAGUGAGCCGAGUGGGAAGCUCAGUGAGAAUUUCCACUGCACCUGGCAGGUGAAGGUUGGCACUGAAUAUGUGCUUGGAGCUCUAUUUCUGCUCAUCUUGGAGGCAGAAUGUGCCUGUGGCCAGUGCAGAAUGAGAGAAGCCCUCAGUAGUAAUGCAAAGGAAUUAUCUCCCCAGGAGAAAUGGGGAUCUUUCCAUUGUAAAGAGAUAAUUUUACAGCAAGGAAAUCCUUGGGCUGAACAAUCCAUUUCUCAAGCUAAAGGGCCCAACUAAUUCCAAUACUGGCUUUAACUUUACUUAAAAAUCGUGAGGUAACUUCUGUCCUCUGCAGUGUGGCCGUGGUUAACUGAGAUCUGGUUGCAGAGCUGAGUCUGAACAUCUGUCAGAUCUCUGAGUGUGUCUUAACUACGUUGUCUGGUUUACAGCCAACUCCAGUUUCUGGGCUCAGCCUCUGCCAGGCUAUGUCCUAGUUUUUAACAGUAUCUUCACUAUGUUUCAGUCCCCAGGGGCAGUAGCUACACCAGAUUUAAUUAAAACUGGGAAUGCUAAUCAGCAGGUCUUCCUGUAACUGUGAGAUCUCACACUGUCCCGAAGUUAAGUGGCUUUUGCCUUCUAAUAUUGUGGGAAAUAUUGAAAUAAUGCUCCUGGGCCACAGAUCCCAGAGCCUGCAGUGCCAACAUUCUUUACACCUGAAACUUCGGAAUAGCAGGAAGUUCAUUUGGGGAUAGUGUGUCUUCAAACACCUCAGUGCAGGGGUUGCAUAACAAUUCUGUAAGGCUUUUACUAAUGAAUAUGUGUGAGGAAGACAAAAAGAACCUUGAGUAACUUAAUGCCCUUCUCUGCAGUGAAUUAGAUGACAUUAUGUGUAACAGCAGAUCCUGUUUCAAGGGCUGGAGACCUCGACUGGGCAGUGCCCAAACCAGGGCAGGGCACCUCUGUGGCCCUCGUGGCCUUCUUCCAGGGUGUGUGCUGCACAGAGGGGAGCAGAAGCACCUUCAAAAGCUGGGAAAUAGGAAAAUGUCCUGAAGCACAGCAGUUACAACUGAUAGUUGGAGUCAACAAGGUGAAGAAUUAUUUACUUUGCUGCUUUAAAGAAAAAGGAGGGGGGUUAGGAAGAGGGAGUAGAGUGGAAAUACUAACCAACAAAUGUAAAUGCUUAAAUUUGCAUUGCUAUAAUGUUGUCUAAGAGUAUGGAAAUUUCAAGGGUUUUACUUCACUUCCACAGGAAGUUUUGUGUUUAUAUUUUAAUUUCUGGGAACCCAAGGGCAAAGCAAAGCAAUUAAAAUGUUGAAGACUUAAAAAUAAACUUCAGAAGCUUCAAGUAAAAUACCUUUAGCUGAUUAGUUGUACAAUGCAUCUUUAAUGAGAAAUAAAUGAGGAUUGCAUUGUUUCUUUGGAUAAGAAGAGGCAUUAGAUAUCUGCACUGAUAAUAGAGGGCUUAGAAACAAUCUAACUCAAUGAACUGCUUUUCUAGAAGAAAAAUAGGAAACUUCUACACAGCCUAAUGCACAGAUAAGAAAAACAGUGAAACAAUAAAUUUGUAAAGGUCCCUUCAGUAUUUACUGGAGGUGAAUUUUAACAUAGUCCUGUCACUUUUUUGAUCUGUUUGAUAAGUAUCCAUGUUUCUCUGUUUUUGUCAAACUGUUAGUUUGUCUUGAAGUCUGAUUUUAAUGCAGACUAAUUUAUAUUAAAAGUGCAGGCAGUAAAAUUUAGAAUUAAUUUUGAAUGAUCACAUAUAAACCACUACCUCCUGUAUUUACCCACAGCAAACAAAAUUCUGUUAAAAACAGGGCUCAGAAAGAGACUCUACAAAAUAUUCUUCACAGUUAUCCAUCAUGGUAGUGUAUCAAAAAAAAGGGAAUAUGAAAAGACCUUUGAUUGGGAAGAUUGGCAGCAUUUGUGAUUUUAAAUCAAUUGAAUUUUCAAUAUGCAUUUAUUGUCCGGGUUAAAUUGCUGCACAGUAAAAAGGAGUGCUGCUCUCUGAGCAAUAAUUGGUGUAUUUCAACUCUCAAAUUGGGUCACAGUUAACAGACAGCACGCUCUGUUAUUGCUCUUUCUCUUUCCUUGCUUUCUUGGCAAAGUGAUUGAAGCUGUAAUCAUUCUUGCAUUGAGGCAGUGUACUGAUAAAACCCAAUAUUUUUCAUGAAUUAUAGAUCCUCUUCCUUAGUCCUGUUUUUGAUGGUAUUGUAUUGUAGAACAACUUAAAGAACAAUGUAGAAAUCUGCAGUCUGGACAAAAUAUGCUGAAAUGCACUGAAUGAAGACAGCAAUCCCAGUUAUUGGUGGAGUUUAUCUUUGGUAAUGAACACUUCACCUUCUGUAUGGGACUAUGGGAAAAUGAAAUAAAUUGGAAUUAUUAAUCUUACACCAUUUUACAGUCAUCAUAUUCCUAAACAUGCUUUUUAAUCAAAAUAAAAGGACUAAGAAUGGAGGGGGAGACAAUACUGCUCUACAGAGCUCGUGUGCUACGUCACGUUGUAUCUCAAAUUGCUCCAACAAUUCCAUAGGUUGGGUAGAGCUUUGGAGACAGACAGAGCUGUUCCCCUGGGAGCCAGAGCAGCAAUGCUGUGGAUCAGCCUGCCUUCAUGCAGUGUGUGCACACUCAGAAGGGUGUGGAGGGAUCUGUGGAGCUGUAAGGAUCCUUGCCCUGGUCUGAACAGUGACCAUCAGGGCAGUUGGGAACUUGGCUCUGUGGUUUAUGUGAGUGUACAAUAUUAACCAGUGUUUAUGUUGUUAACAGUGAACAUUUGUUGAUGUUGAGUUGCUGGGAGUAUCUGUUUGACAAAUGCCACAGGCAGAGAAGCAAAUGGUCUGCAGGAGCACCCCAUGCACCUAAAGAGUGCCAGGAGAGGAUGGUGCCAACUUCAGCCGAGGAGGAUGGCCAGCAGCACGUCCUGAGCUGCUUCCCAGCUCAGCUUCAUUUCUCACCCACCUCUUCAUGUUCUGGUUCUGUGGGGUGACAGCUCAGGCCCUGACCUGUUGAAUUCUGCCCUAACCUGUCUGCACUGAGUCUCACCCAUCCUCUCUUACAUUUAAUGUAUGAGGUAAGGCCACAGGUGUGUGAGAGUCUCAAGGGGAUGCUGACAGAGGACACAGUGAGGAGCUCCACAGACGUGGAGUACAUGUAUGAUGAUUGUAUCUGCAGCUUGGAAAAAACGGAAGAAAAAGAGGCAAAGGGAGUGGUGAUGGUAGGGAAGAUGCCCUAUCCCAUCUCUGUUGCACCCUCACUGUGAAGAGAGAGUGGAAAUUAAUUGCCAGACCAGUGGAGGGCUGCACAUCAGCUUUUAUACAGCUGAAGCAAAGUGGGGGGGCUCCACCUCCUCCUCAUUGGCUAUGACAGACCAAGACUCAGAAUUAAUUAAAGGGUAAGACUAAGUUCAGCUCAGGCUUUGUAAAAAAACCAAAAUUGUUUUUGUGCUGUGUGUUCUGUCAGCAGCCUCUUGGCUUCCGUGCUUGCAGUGAACUGGAGGAACCACAUUCUCCUGAGGUAAUAUUAUCUUUGUCUCACAAGUAUCCAAAUCCAAGCCACUGCUUUCCUGCCUGGUGUGCUGUUGACACAUUAUUCAGCAAAUCUCUGGGCAGGCAGGUUGGCUUGUGAAGGGCUCUGAUCUUGGUUCAUUAGAGCACUAUGAGAUACCUUCCUGUACUGCUGUGCUUUUUUUAUAUGGAGAAGAGUGAGAAAGAUUUGAAUAUACAUAGAUAAUGCCAUUACCAGUUAAUUUAAAAGGCCAAAUUGUGUUUUUUAACAAUGCUAUACCUCUCUAAGCAAUGUUCAAGAAAGACAGGGAUAUAUUUACAAGACAGAUGUUCCAAUUUCUGGCUACCCAAAAGUGAAAUAAUACCACUAUAAAUUUAAAUAGGACGAGGCUUUAAUGGGUCUCCUAGAGAAAAAAAUAAGGUGUUUAUUAGUUGAAAUGUACUAAACUACCUGCAUUUGACAAAGUGCUAAUGGAGGAAAUUACUUGUAGAGAAACAAAUGAAAAUGUCAAUUAAAAAAAAGUAAUGGCUCUCUGA